AUUGAACGCUGGCGGAAUGCUUUACACAUGCAAGUCGAACGGCAGCACGGACUUCGGUCUGGUGGCGAGUGGCGAACGGGUGAGUAAUAUAUCGGAACGUGCCCAGUCGUGGGGGAUAACGUAGCGAAAGCUACGCUAAUACCGCAUACGAUCUACGGAUGAAAGCGGGGGAUCGCAAGACCUCCCGCGAUUGGAGCGGCCGAUAUCAGAUUAGGUAGUUGGCGAGGUAAAGGCUCACCAAGCCGACGAUCUGUAGCUGGUCUGAGAGGACGACCAGCCACACUGGGACUGAGACACGGCCCAGACUCCUACGGGAGGCAGCAGUGGGGAAUUUUGGACAAUGGACGCAAGUCUGAUCCAGCCAUUCCGCGUGCAGGACGAAGGCCUUCGGGUUGUAAACUGCUUUUGUACAGAACGAAAAGGUCUCUAUUAAUACUAGGGGCUCAUGACGGUACUGUAAGAAUAAGCACCGGCUAACUACGUGCCAGCCGCCGCAGUAA
rnacentral:rRNA from 1 species